CUACGAUAGCAGAGGGGGAUUAUGUUUUCUGGUCUGUGCCUCUGUUUGUCCGUCCGUCCGUCCGUCCGUCUGUGCGUCCGUUCGUCCGUCCGCUUCAGGUUAAAGUUUUUGGUCCAGGUAGUUUUUGAAGAAGUUGAAGUCCAAUCAACUUGAAACUUAGUACACUUGUUCCCCAUGAUAUGAUCUUUCUAAUUUUAAUGCCAAAUUAUAGUUUUGACCCCAAUUUCAUGGUCCACUGAACAUAGAAAAUGAUAGUGCGAAGUUCAGGUUAAAGUUUUUGGUCAAGGUAGUUUUUGAUGAAGUUAAAGUUACAUCAACUUGAAACUUAGUACACAUGUUCCCAAUGAUAUGAUCUUUCUAAUUUUAAUUCCAAAUUAAAGUUUUGACCCCAAUUUCACGGUCCACUGAACAUAGAAAAUGAUAGUGCGAGUGGGGCAUUC
rnacentral:lncRNA from 1 species